GUGUCAGCCGCCGCGGUAAUACGGAGGGUGCAAGCGUUGUUCGGAAUCACUGGGCGUAAAGGGCGCGUAGGCGGCUAGGGAAGUCCGGUGUGAAAGCCCGGGGCUCAACCCCGGAAGUGCAUUGGAAACUCCCUGGCUUGAGUUCGGAAGAGGAGGGCAGAAUUCCCGGUGUAGGGGUGAAAUCCGUAGAUAUCGGGAGGAAAACCAGUGGCGAAGGCGGCCCUCUGGGACAGAACUGACGCUGAGGCGCGAAAGCGUGGGGAGCAAACAGGAUUAGAGACCCUGGUAGUCCACGCCGUAAACGAUGGAUGCUUGGUGUGGGGAUCAAUAAGGAUCUCCGUGCCGCAGCUAACGCAGUAAGCAUCCCGCCUGGGGAGUACGGUCGCAAGACUAAA
rnacentral:rRNA from 1 species